rnacentral:rRNA from 1 species
UACGGGGGGGGCAAGCGUUGUUCGGAAUUACUGGGCGUAAAGGGCGCGUAGGCGGCCUUCUAAGUCGGACGUGAAAUCCCCAGGCUUAACCUGGGAACUGCGUCGGAUACUGGAUGGCUUGAAUCCGGGAGAGGGAUGCGGAAUUCCAGGUGUAGCGGUGAAAUGCGUAGAUAUCUGGAGGAACACCGGUGGCGAAGGCGGCAUCCUGGACCGGCAUUGACGCUGAUGAGCGAAAGCCAGGGGAGCGAACGGG